AAGUGAAUCUAGCCUUGACAUCUGUCAGCAGGGUUGAUUUGGCUGAUCUGGGUGUCUAGUCGGGUAUUCCCUUUCCUUUUCAUUGUCCCAUGAAACCAGAUAUUUGGUCAAAAAGGAUGACCUUCCCCAAUAGAGGGAGACUUAUCUUUGGUCUAGGUAUAGCUGUGAUCAUUUGCUAGAACCUGCAAAUAAGUUUUCAAAGCCAGAUAAAGAAUUUAGACUCACAUUUGAGAAGAGCAUUCAUAUUAU
rnacentral:sRNA from 1 species